rnacentral:lncRNA from 1 species
CGUUUGGGGCGAAGUGGGGCGCGCGGCGCUCGAAGCACCGUUCCGCAGGUUCCGCCGCUGCUGGAUUCAGCAUGGGCACUUUUCACGCCGCACCCCUGGAGCUGUAGAUGUCAACUCUUUUCAUCACUGUUCCUGAUUGUGACAUUGUC